GUACCUGAUGCGCAAAAACUUGGAC
rnacentral:ncRNA from 2 species